GCAUGAAGUCGGAAUUGCUAGUAAUCGCAGAUCAGCAUGCUGCGGUGAAUACGUUCCCGGGCCUUGUACACACCGCCCGUCACACCAUGGGAGUCGGUAACACCCGAAGCCUGUAGUCUAACCGCAAGGAGGACGCAGUCGAAGGUGGGAUUGAUGACUGGGGUGAAGUCGUAACAAGGUAAC
rnacentral:rRNA from 1 species